GCUGCACGGGGUGGAGGGCAGGAGCGUCAGAGGGCAGGCAGCCAGGACCCAGAGUGGCAGGGUCAAGUGAGAGAUGCUGCAUUUCCACGCGGGAAGAAGGCUGGUGAGGGGAUGCCCAUUUUGAUCCUAAAACUUGAGGUUCUCGGCAGGAAUGGCCAACGUGAGUGAAGAAGGGAAGAAUGUCAAGAUGGGCCUAGCUGGCCUUCCUCCUGAACUCAAGAGAGUGGCUCAUUAACUGUCUGCUGGAACAAAACCAGGAGAGGGGGCAGGAAGCAGAACCACCCACGAACUACCCGCUCUUUCAUUUCUUUAAUAAAGACUUGCAGCAUUCCUAGAA